rnacentral:lncRNA from 1 species
CCCUGUCUCCUUUCUGACCCCCUAUGUUAACUUGUGGUUAGCAGUUCAAUGUUCUGCUGUGAUUUUUUGCAUCAUCCAUUUCUCUCUCCAACUAGACUGCUUACUCUUUCGAGGUCAAGGGCUGCCUCCUAAACUUCUCUUACAAGUCCCACAAAGUUCACAGCAGUGCCUGGCACACAGACAAUAUCAUUCACUAGACAAUUGAGUGACCACAACUCCAUUUCUAUGAAAAAACUGAGGCAGAGAGAAAUGUAUUCAUUGAACACACAUACUUCAAAGGAGCUAAAUGCAAAGAACUACGCCAGGCAAUUUACAAAGAUGAAUAAGAUGGAAUCUGAUCUCCAGGAGCUUAUGAUAUAUUGCAGGUUCAGGACUCCUUCCAUUGAAUUUCAGUGGUUCCCAGAAAGAUGUGUGGACUCUUCUUCAUCAUAACAACCACAGUGAUAAUGAAAAUAAGUACCUGAGUCUGAAUCACAAGGUUGCUAUUAGAGGUGCUGAUUUUCGGUAAGUUGAUUCAUUUCACACUCAGUUACUUCAUCUAUAAAGUAAGAUAGUAAUAGCCUCAUUCCUGGACCUGACCCUCUACUUUGUACCCUAAGACUGAUAUUUCUUCAUGAAUUCUGUUGGAGGUCCUAUAACACCGCAAUACCAACAGGCAGAAUCAGAAGCUAACUGUUGGUCUCUUACACACUUGGUUUAAGUCACUCUGAUCCUGUUUUAUUUCCAUUUUUCUCUCUCUGCAAAUUCAUGAGUUUCUUGAAAGCAGGGUCCAGUUCUUCCACACCCAUAUUCCUCAAGUGCUUUAGCCUAGACGUGAUGUGCAUGCUGAAUUCGUUACAAGUAGCCAGA